UUCGAUUGCGGGUGGAGCAAUACUCGAAUGCGGCUCAUCUUACGAUGGAGCAGCGUAAUCUCGAAGAGCACGAGCUGGUCGGCCAUCGCUGGUAUCGUCAAAGGAAGGAGAUUUUUGAGAUCAGGAAUUUCGAUUGGAGGAAGAUUGUUUCUAACAUGAUAUUCCCGAAUUCGUCGUAAUAAUCGGAGGUAUCGUUCAACGUCGUUGAUUCGUAAGUAGUACGGCUCGCCUUGUGAGCGAGUGUGUGGCAUACAAAUCAACGAAAAAGGG
rnacentral:lncRNA from 1 species